CUGCUAGAUGUGCGGUCAACAGUUCCCCACGCGGUCUCAGCUGUACGUUCACUUCGCGCACGGCCCGCACGGCCGGCAGAUGGAGUGCAAGAAGUGCGGGGCGAGGUUCGAGUGAGUAUAGUGUGUAUAUAGUACUGCAAGAUGUGCGGCCAACAGUUCCCCACACGGUCCCAGCUGUACGUGCACUUCGCGCACGGUUCGCACGGCCGGCAGAUGGAGUGCAAGAAGUGCGGGGCGAGGUUCGAGUGAGUAUAGUGUGUAUAUAGUACUGCAAGAUGUGCGGUCAACAGUAU